AUCCCUGUAGUGCAAUGUGUAGUGCGUUGGACUUUUAAUCCAAUGUCGGGGGUUCAAAUCCCACCUGGGAUA